CAGUAGCGUAUAUUAAAGUUGUUGCAGUUAAAAAGCUCGUAGUUGGAUUUCUGGUAUGCUGCGCCUGGCCCGCCCGCGUUAGCGAGGUGAGUGCCGGAGCGCGGUUGCCAUCCUUCUAGAGAACGGGUCUGGCCUUCAUUGGCACGGAUCCGGAAUCUAGAUCAUUUACUUUGAAAAAUUAGAGUGUUUAAAGCAGGCUUUUGCUAUGAAUACAUUAGCAUGGAAUAAUAAUAUAGGACUUUGGUCUUAUUUGUUGGUUCUGAGGACUGAAGUAAUGAUUGAUAGGGAUAGUUGGGGGUGGCUAGUAUUCAGCGGCCAGAGGUGAAAUUCUUGGAUUCGCUGAAGACUAACUUAUGCGAAAGCAUUCACCAAGGAUGUCUUCUUUAAUCAAGAACGAAAGUUGGGGGAGUCGAAGACGAUUAGAUACCGU
rnacentral:rRNA from 1 species